AUGGACAGAACAGGAUGGCAAGGAUGCAGCUGCCAGGGAGCUGAGCUCAGCUACCCGCAGCCCGUGGCCACAAUCCCCUGGGACCUGGGGGUGGGGAUGGAACUCCAACAGGGCUGGUGCAGGCCCUGCAGGAAGAUCCCGGGUGAGGCCGAGGGCUACAGGCUGCAGGCUGCAGGCACACCUGCUGCCACACGCUCCAACACAGCAACGUCCGUCACCCGGGAGCCCUGGCAGAUGGCCGCAGGAGGAGGCGCCCCCACGGCAUGCCCUCGCCCCAGGCCGGUUUGGGGAGCUUACCAAACUGCAUCCCAUGUGCCCCCCACAGCAUCGACCCCAAGGGGAGCCUGCCCACAAGACCACAGGCGGGGUCCCCGCUUCUCCUUGGAGAACAAAGCCUGGAGCCCGUUCUUGCUGUGGCCUGGCCACUGGUCCCAGACGGGGCUCCGAGCUGCCGGAGACGUCACAUCCAACUUCCUGCUCACGGGGUGUCAGGGGAGUGGAGGAAACCAUGUCCCGCCCUCUGUCCCUGUCCUCCGCAGCCCAUCACCCGGGGAGAGCGGGGACCUGCCUGGGAAGGACACACGACGCAGGAACAGGAGCAGCGCUCCCCACACGAGGGCAGGCAAGAGAUGAGCCACUCCUGUGCCCCAUCGUUUACCUCAGAUUUUUUAAAACACAGAAUUCCACAGCUGGAUGUGAGCAGUUGUGGACAAGGACAGCAGAGCACAACUGAGGCUGACCUGACGUACGCGGCAGCCUUGCCGGGGCGGGGGGCGCACCACAGACAGUGUCUAUGGGAACUGCCCCUUACAGACAGGAAAACUGAGUCCCACCAGAGCCAGGUGCUCUGCUUGAAGCCCAGAAGAAAAGAGGGUUUUUUCCUGGUGUAAAAUUCUACUAGCGUCCUGUGUCCAGCUGUUUCUCAUUAAUUUGUUUAAAAAGCAGCAACGGUGAGAGGAGGGAGCAGCUCUCCAGCCCUGGCACACGACAAACUAGUGCUGGGGGCGGGUGCAGCCUGCAGGGACACCAGGGACCUGGCAGGGCUCACGUCUGUGUCUCAACCACAGAGUCACUGCGGUGGGGCUGGGAGAUGCAAACAGUCCGGGGAGCCCAGGGCCCGGCCUGGAACCUUCCCUCCAACACACCUGCCAUGAGAAACCCAUCAAAUUUAAAGCUAGAGUCAUAGUCAUUUCUGUCAUUGGGCAGGAAAACCAACCCUUAUGAAGGCGACGUAUUGUUUGAACUGUACUUUAUUCCAUACAACGUCCUUAAAGCAAGUACAUGUUAAUAAAUGCAACUGAGGGUACA
rnacentral:lncRNA from 12 species